GUAAUUUCUCAGCUGUUUUUAGUAAUAAUAAUAAUAAUGAAAUAAGAUUUUUAUCUAGUGAAUUGUUUUAACAAAUUUGUUUAGUUCUGUUGGCAGCUAAUUAGAUAAUUAAAGCUACAAUGUUCAGAAUUGUUGUGAAAGUUUUCUGCCAUUAUUGUGGUGUAAUGCCUCUGUCAUGUGGUGAGCAUAGUGUCUGGGAAUGCAAAAAUGGCAGUUCUGUGACUUUCAGUGUUGUUCAUGUUUUUAAAAGUGCCUGUAACUUGAUAUUGUGGAUGCAUAAUUUUAAAACUUUGCCAUUAUAUAUAUUUCUAUCAGUAAUGCAAAUUAUUUGCAUAUUAACUUGUAGAUAUAUAAUAAUUUAGAAUGUAUAAUAGGAAC
rnacentral:lncRNA from 1 species